rnacentral:piRNA from 1 species
UCAGUCCUUUGUAUGAACUCACUUGUUGGU